AGAGUUUGAUCCUGGCUCAGGAUGAACGCUGGCGGUCUGCUUAACACAUGCAAGUCGAACGGAACUUUUCGGAGUUCAGUGGCGGACGGGUGAGUAACGCGUGAGAAUCUGCCUUCUGGUCGGGGACAACCACUGGAAACGGUGGCUAAUACCGGAUGAGCCUACGGGUAAAAGAUUUAUUGCCAGAAGAGGAGCUCGCGUCUGAUUAGCUAGUUGGUGAGGUAAAGGCUCACCAAGGCAUCGAUCAGUAGCUGGUCUGAGAGGAUGACCAGCCACACUGGGACUGAGACACGGCCCAGACUCCUACGGGAGGCAGCAGUGGGGAAUUUUCCGCAAUGGGCGAAAGCCUGACGGAGCAAGACCGCGUGAGGGAGGAAGGCUCUUGGGUUGUAAACCUCUUUUCUUGGGGAAGAAAAAAAUGACGGUACCCAAGGAAUCAGCAUCGGCUAACUCCGUGCCAGCAGCCGCGGUAAUACGGAGGAUGCAAGCGUUAUCCGGAAUUAUUGGGCGUAAAGCGUCCGCAGGUGGCACUUCAAGUCUGCUGUCAAAGGUCGGGGCUUAACCCCGGGAAGGCAGUGGAAACUGAAGCGCUAGAGUGUCGUAGGGGUAGAGGGAAUUCCCGGUGUAGCGGUGAAAUGCGUAGAGAUCGGGAAGAACAUCGGUGGCGAAAGCGCUCUACUGGACGACAACUGACACUCAGGGACGAAAGCUAGGGGAGCGAAUGGGAUUAGAUACCCUAGUAGUCC
rnacentral:rRNA from 1 species